rnacentral:misc_RNA from 1 species
UAAUAAGUGUUUUAUUGGCACUUUUUUAAAUCCAUAUCCACCUUGUGUGCAAUGUCAGUCGAUCUUCUUCAUGGAGAUCGACCAAACAUCAACCUUUAUCUUUUAAACUCUUUGUCUUAAAAAUAUUAUGAAUAAACAAUUCAAAAUA